rnacentral:rRNA from 1 species
AUGGCUCUACAUGACCCAAAGGAAGUAGUGAAGACUCUGCUGCACGGCAAUCUCGACCAAUCUACUAGCAUAGUAGCCCUGUUGUGGUCCUGGUGGAACGCCAGAAACAAGCAUCGAGCGGAGAAGAAAAAGAUUGAGAUCAAUGCCUUGUUGUGGCAGAUCAAGAGUACAGCAGACGAGUAUAAAAAUUUCUUUGGGAAAGAAAAACAGGAGACAGUGAAACAACUGGAAUGUUGGACAAAACCUGCUGAGGGCAUGCUCAAGAUAAAUGUGGAUGGCAGUUUUAGCAAGGAUACAAAAUCGGGUGGCUGGGGAUAUGUCAUACGGGACCAUGAAGGUGAUGUUGUGGUAGCUGCUGCUGGGCGCCUGAACUAUAUUUCUGAUGGAUUACAAGAGGAAGCGGAAGCCUGUAUCCAAGGAAUGUACAAGGAGCAAGAACCGGGCAUUGGCCGAGCAGUCGUGGAGACUGAUGCGAUGUUGCUGGUGCAGGCGAUUAAGUCCUCGAGUUUUGACCUCGCUCCAAAUGGUGUCUUGUUUAAGGAGAUCAAACUCUUUGCCUCUUUAAAUUUUAGCUCUUUUGAUAUUGUUCAUUGCCCUCGGGCCUGUAAUAAGGUUGCAGACGUUCUAGCGCUGUAUGGGGCGAAGAUGGAGCUAGAGCCCCAAGCCGUAUGGCCGGGCCUUGCCCCUACCUUUGCCCAGUCUUUGGUUGCCAGCGAGUCUGCUCGGCACGUUGCUUAA